rnacentral:rRNA from 1 species
CCUACGGGUGGCAGCCGUAGGGAAUUUUGCGCAAUGGGGGAAACCCUGACGCAGCAACGCCGCGUGAUUGAUGAAGCCCUUCGGGGUGUAAAGAUCUGUCAGUGGGGACGAAACUUGACGGUACCCACAGAGGAAGCAUCGGCUAACUCCGGGCCAGCAGCAGCGGUAAUACGGGGGAUGCAAGCGUUGUCCGGAAUCAUUGGGGGUAAAGAGUUCGUAGGUGGCACGGUAAGUCUGGGGUUAAAUGCAGGGGCUCAACCUCUGGUCGGCCCUGGAUACUGGCGAGCUUGAAUGCGGUAGAGGUAAAGGGAAUUCCUGGUGUAGCGGUGAAAUGCGUAGAUAGCAGGAGGAACAUCGGUGGCGUAGGCGCUUUACUGGUCCGGAAUUGACACUGAGGAACGAAAGCCAGGGUAGCAAAUGGGAUUAGAUACCCUUGUAGUC